rnacentral:rRNA from 1 species
CCUACGUGAGGCAGCAGUGAGGAAUAUUGGUCAAUGGGCGCGAGCCUGAACCAGCCAAGUAGCGUGAAGGAUGACUGCCCUACGGGUUGUAAACUUCUUUUAUAAAGGAAUAAAGUGAGGCACGUGUGCCUUUUUGUAUGUACUUUAUGAAUAAGGAUCGGCUAACUCCGUACCAGCAGCCGCGGUAAUACGGAGGAUCCGAGCGUUAUCCGGAUUUAUUGGGUUUAAAGGGAGCGUAGUUGGGUUGUUAAGUCAGUUGUGAAAGUUUGCGGCUCAACCGUAAGAUUGCAAUUGAUACUGGCAGUCUUGAGUACAGUUGAGGUAGGCGGAAUUCGUGGUGUAGCGGUGAAAUGCUUAGAUAUCACGAAGAACUCCGAUUGCGAAGGCAGCUUACUAAACUGCCACUGACAUUGAUGCUCGAAAGUGUGGGUAUCAAACAGGAUUAGAUACCCGAGUAGUC